CAUACUUGCUCAAUGGUAGAGCAAUCGUCUCAUAAACGAUUGGUUGCAGGUUCAAAUCCUGCGUAUGACA
rnacentral:tRNA from 2 species